CCUACGGUGGCUGCAGUGGGGAAUAUUGGACAAUGGGCGAAAGCCUGAUCCAGCCAUGCCGCGUGUGUGAAGAAGGCCUUCGGGUUGUAAAGCACUUUCAGUGGGGAAGAAAGCCUUGGGGCUAAUACCCUCGAGGAAGGACAUCACCCACAGAAGAAGCACCGGCUAACUCCGUGCCAGCAGCCGCGGUAAUACGGAGGGUGCGAGCGUUAAUCGGAAUUACUGGGCGUAAAGCGCGCGUAGGCGGUCUGAUAAGCCGGUUGUGAAAGCCCCGGGCUCAACCUGGGAACGGCAUCCGGAACUGUCAGGCUAGAGUGCAGGGGAGGAAGGUAGAAUUCCCGGUGUAGCGGUGAAAUGCGUAGAGAUCGGGAGGAAUACCAGUGGCGAAGGCGGCCUUCUGGACUGACACUGACGCUGAGGUGCGAAAGCGUGGGUAGCAAACAGGAUUAGAUACCCGUGUAGUC
rnacentral:rRNA from 1 species